rnacentral:rRNA from 1 species
GAUGAACGCUGGCGGCGUGCCUAAUACAUGCAAGUCGAGCGAACGGACGAGAAGCUUGCUUCUCUGAUGUUAGCGGCGGACGGGUGAGUAACACGUGGAUAACCUACCUAUAAGACUGGGAUAACUUCGGGAAACCGGAGCUAAUACCGGAUAAUAUUUUGAACCGCAUGGUUCAAAAGUGAAAGACGGUCUUGCUGUCACUUAUAGAUGGAUCCGCGCUGCAUUAGCUAGUUGGUAAGGUAACGGCUUACCAAGGCAACGAUGCAUAGCCGACCUGAGAGGGUGAUCGGCCACACUGGAACUGAGACACGGUCCAGACUCCUACGGGAGGCAGCAGUAGGGAAUCUUCCGCAAUGGGCGAAAGCCUGACGGAGCAACGCCGCGUGAGUGAUAAAGGUCUUCGGAUCGUAAAACUCUGUUAUUAGGGAAGAACAUAUGUGUAAGUAACUGUGCACAUCUUGACGGUACCUAAUCAGAAAGCCACGGCUAACUACGUGCCAGCAGCCGCGGUAAUACGUANGUGGCAAGCGUUAUCCGGAAUUAUUGGGCGUAAAGCGCGCGUAGGCGGUUUUUUAGUCUGAUGUGAAAGCCCACGGCUCAACCGUGGAGGGUCAUUGGAAACUGGAAAACUUGAGUGCAGAAGAGGAAAGUGGAAUUCCAUGUGUAGCGGUGAAAUGCGCAGAGAUAUGGAGGAACACCAGUGGCGAAGGCGACUUUCUGGUCUGUAACUGACGCUGAUGUGCGAAAGCGUGGGGAUCAAACAGGAUUAGAUACCCUGGUAGUCCACGCCGUAAACGAUGAGUGCUAAGUGUUAGGGGGUUUCCGCCCCUUAGUGCUGCAGCUAACGCAUUAAGCACUCCGCCUGGGGAGUACGACCGCAAGGUUGAAACUCAAAGGAAUUGACGGGGACCCGCACAAGCGGUGGAGCAUGUGGUUUAAUUCGAAGCAACGCGAAGAACCUUACCAAAUCUUGACAUCCUCUGACCCCUCUAGAGAUAGAGUUUUCCCCUUCGGGGGACAGAGUGACAGGUGGUGCAUGGUUGUCGUCAGCUCGUGUCGUGAGAUGUUGGGUUAAGUCCCGCAACGAGCGCAACCCUUAAGCUUAGUUGCCAUCAUUAAGUUGGGCACUCUAAGUUGACUGCCGGUGACAAACCGGAGGAAGGUGGGGAUGACGUCAAAUCAUCAUGCCCCUUAUGAUUUGGGCUACACACGUGCUACAAUGGACAAUACAAAGGGCAGCGAAACCGCGAGGUCAAGCAAAUCCCAUAAAGUUGUUCUCAGUUCGGAUUGUAGUCUGCAACUCGACUACAUGAAGCUGGAAUCGCUAGUAAUCGUAGAUCAGCAUGCUACGGUGAAUACGUUCCCGGGUCU